rnacentral:tRNA from 2 species
GGGGUUGUGGUCUAGCCUGGUAAGAUUGGGUCUUCGGGGGACCUAGACCUGAGUUCGAAUCUCAGCAACCCCA